UUCUACCUAGGGACGCAGCAGUGGGGGAUAUUGCACAAUGGGGAAAACCCUGAUGCAGCGACGCCGCGUGGGUGAAGAAGCGCCUCGGCGCGUAAAGCCCUGUCAGCAGGGAAGAAAAUGACGGUACCUGAAGAAGAAGCCCCGGCUAACUACGUGCCAGCAGCCGCGGUAAUACGUAGGAGGCAAGCGUUAUCCGGAUUUACUGGGUGUAAAGGGGGCGCAGACGGCGAUGCAAGCCAGGAGUGAAAGCCCGGGGCCCAAC
rnacentral:rRNA from 1 species